rnacentral:rRNA from 1 species
AUUGAACGCUGGCGGAAUGCUUUACACAUGCAAGUCGAACGGCAGCACGGGGGCAGCCCUGGUGGCGAGUGGCGAACGGGUGAGUAAUACAUCGGAACGUGCCCGGUCGUGGGGGAUAACGUAGCGAAAGUUACGCUAAUACCGCAUACGAUCUGAGGAUGAAAGCGGGGGACCUUCGGGCCUCGCGCGAUCGGAGCGGCCGAUGUCAGAUUAGGUAGUUGGUGGGGUAAAGGCCUACCAAGCCGACGAUCUGUAGCUGGUCUGAGAGGACGACCAGCCACACUGGGACUGAGACACGGCCCAGACUCCUACGGGAGGCAGCAGUGGGGAAUUUUGGACAAUGGGCGCAAGCCUGAUCCAGCCAUUCCGCGUGCAGGACGAAGGCCUUCGGGUUGUAAACUGCUUUUGUACGGAACGAAAAGGCUCUGGCUAAUACCUGGGACUCAUGACGGUACCGUAAGAAUAAGCACCGGCUAACUACGUG